rnacentral:rRNA from 1 species
AGCAGCCUUCGGUAUAAGUGUUAUAGAGGUAGAGCUACGAAUUGGGUAAGGGGGCUUCAUCGCCUACCGAACUCAGAUAAACUCCGAAUACUAUAACAUGUUCCCGAGGAGUGAGGGCAUGGGUGCUAAGGUCCUUGUCCGAGAGGGAAACAACCCAGACCAUCAGUUAAGGUCCCUAAAUCUAUUCUAAGUUGAGCUAACGAGGUUCAAUUGCAUUGACAGCUAGGAUGUUGGCUUGGAAGCAGCCAUUCAUUUAAAGAGUGCGUAACAGCUCACUAGUCGAGCGAUCGUGCGUGGAUAAUAAGCGGGCAUUAAGUAUAUUACCGAAGAUAUGGAUUCAGCGUAAGCUGUCUGGUAGGGGAGCAUUCUAUAUGCGUUGAAUGUGUGGUGCGAACCAUGCUGGAGCGUAUAGAAAAGCAAAUGUAGGAAUAAGUAACGAUAAUGCAGGCGAGAAACCUGCACACCGAAAGACUAAGGUUUCCUGGGCUACGUUAAUCGUCCCAGGGUUAGUCGGGACCUAACGCGAACCCGAAGGGGGUAGUGGAUGGCGAACUGGUUAAUAUUCCAGUACUUGUUGUAACUGCGAUGGGGUGACGGAUUAAUGAAAGUACCGCGUACUGACGGAAUAGUACGUUAAAGAGUGUAGGCGUUGAUCGGGAUAGGCAAAUCCGUCCUGAGAGUCGAACUUGAUAGUACCGAGAGGCUUCGGCCAAUUGGAUAGUGUAUGUAAGAGAUCCCGAGAAAAACCUCUAAGCUUCAGGUUACAACAACUCGUACCGUAAACCGACACAGGUAGUCGAGGAGAGAAUCCUAAGGUGCUCGAGUGAUUCAUGGCUAAGGAACUAGGCAAAAUGGUCUCGUAACUUCGGGAGAAGAGACGCCAUCGCAAGCUGGCCGCAGUAAAUAGGCCCAGGCAACUGUUUAUCAAAAACACAUGGCUUUGCAAAAUCGAAAGAUGACGUAUAAGGCCUGACACCUGCCCGGUGCUGGAAGGUUAAGGGGGGAUGUUAGCCGCAAGGCGAAGCAUUGAACUGAAGCCCCAGUAAACGGCGGCCGUAACUAUAACGGUCCUAAGGUAGCGAAAUUCCUUGUCGGGUAAGUUCCGACCUGCACGAAUGGUGUAACGAUCUGGGCACUGUCUCAACCACGAGCUCGGUGAAAUUGUAGUAUCGGUGAAGAUGCCGGUUACCCGCAACGGGACGAAAAGACCCCGUGCACCUUUACUAUAGCUUCACAUUGGUUUUGGUUAUAUAUUGUGUAGGAUAGGUGGGAGACUAUGAAGCAGCGUCGCUAGGCGUUGUGGAGUCAUUGUUGAAAUACCACCCUAUAUAUAAUUGAAGUCUAACUCCCUCUAAGAGGGAGGACAGUGUGUGGUGGGUAGUUUGACUGGGGUGGUCGCCUCCAAAAAAGUAACGGAGGCUUUCAA